GGAGAAAGAGAAGGAAUGACAUGACGGGAGAGGAGAAGGGGGACCUCCGCCACUGCAACAAUCGCCGGCGAGUUGCACGCCACCGUGGAGUCACCAUUUUGUCAUCGUUCAGCUGCUGUCAUUAUUUCUCGAUUUGACGAACAUCCUCCUUGCUCUAAUUUCAGUUUUUCCAAUUUCUGAAACCUUCAUUGUUAAUUUAUCUCCGGGACACUCAUAAUUGACGCGGUUGUCGCUGUUGUUGUUGCCAUGAAGGAGUUGAGGCUACUACCGCUGCUCUGGCUACAUUGAGGGUUGCUGCCGCUAUUGAAAAUUAAGGAUAAAAAAAGGAGAUUAUUGCGGUUAAUUCCUACGGGUUUAACAAAUCAAGGUGGCAGGUUUAUUUUAAAAUUAAGAGUUUUUAACUUAAGAAUGCCAAAUAACCUACUGAAUAUUUACAAGUAGUUUAUAAAUGCUUUGUAAAACUAAUUAAUGAGAAUUGAUGAAGCUGUAAAUUGUUACUGAA